GAAGAAACAGGAGCGGACGAGGGUAGUGGGUUCACCUUCAACGUCCUGCACGCCUAACGCGCCUCCCGAAGGGUCCCUUCCGUUCGCCCCACGCGGCACAGCCUUGCCGGGCGGAGGUGGCUGUGACUGCUCUGCGGGGACGUCAGGUGCAUGCUCCAGUUUUCCAGGUCAUGAAGCUUGACAGUUACUAGUGACGCGCUCCCCUGACGGUUCCUUAGAGCAUCAGGCUUACAUCAACCCGGUGGCAGUGCUUUCGCGGCCGCGUGGCCGACGUGGGGACCCAGUGUCGUUCCCAAUCCAAACGCUGGGUGCUUGGUGUUAGGAGCGGGGAGAAGGCAAGGCGGCUCGUGGACACCUCCCCAGUGGUCAGCCUGCAGACGCCGUCCUGUGCAGCGCCGCUCAGAGCGCACAACCGCGGCCCCGCCCGGCCUGAGGCCACCUGCCGCUCCAGGACCAGGGCACGGGGCCUGCCGCCCGCCCCCUCUCGGGCUCUGGGUGGGCCGAGGACUUUCUCUGUGGAGGGCUGAGUCAGGGAACCGUCCGGGCUCCGGACAGGUGAGUCCUUGGAGAGCGUUCCUGCGGGGACUGCUCCCCGUGCCCAGGCCCCGGCUGGCGCUGUCUGCUGCCGUCCCUGUGACCUGGAUGCCCCGAGCUUGUUGAGCGGCUGAACACUCCCACCCUGCUUUGGUGACGUGGGAAGCUCAGCGCACUUGCGGGCCCUUCGUGGGAGAGAAUCAGUUUGCCACUCCCAGUGGGCUCUUCCUCCGUAGGCCUGCGUUCUGCCGCGCCCCUCCUGGCCACGCCCAUCAAGGCCUCGCCCCCUGCGGGCCACACCCCAGGCCACACCCCUCCUCGCUCGCCAGGCUCCCCCGCCCCCCAGGCCUGUCCUCGCGAGGUAGGUCCGGUUUUCACCUGCAUGGUUUGAACGGGCUGGGGAGUCGUGGGAGGAGCUGCAGCGGGGAAUAAACGGCUUCUGCUCUGCAAGGACUGUCCCUCGCCCUGUCGGUCCCCUGACUCAACCCUCCACAGAGAAAGUCCUCCUCCAACCCAGAGCCCGAGAGGCGGCGGGCGGCAGGCCCCGUGCCGCAGUUCUGCUCCUGCACCCGCCCCUCAGGGGCACUCGAGCCUGUCCUGUGGCAUGUGGAGAGGUGGCCCCGCCCCUGCAGCAUGGCUCCUGGCCACAGCAGUCUGAGGGCAGAAGGGGCCCGGCUCACUCUCAGCAAGUGCGUGGGGAGUGUCCAGCAGGGCUGGCCUCUCGUGUCCCCAUUCUAGGACCAGCGGGCCCUGGUGGCACUCAGGAAACGUUUGAUGGGACGUCUGGCCAGGCAGCCCGUGGAGGCCGUGCGUAGACUGGGGGAGCCCUGGAGUUGGCCUGUUGCCGGGCUGCAGUCCAGCCCGGUGGGUGUGGAGGCCGCUGGGCCUCAGGCCCCAGCUGUGGGCUCUGCUCCUGGACCCUGCGCCCUGCGGCGCCCUGUGCUGGCUGCUCCGUCUCCCCGCCACACUGCGCGGGCCCCCUGACAACCUGCGCAUGCGUCAGUGUGUCUUCUUGGGCAGGGCCUGGGCUGGGGGAAGGACUCGUAGCUUCGUAGCCCCAGCAGCCGGUGUCUGGGAGGUUGCAGGUUUGAAAGAAACCGUGUUUGCAAGCAGGACCCCCGUAGGUGAUCCUGAGCGGCCCAGGCCUCCUCACUAUUCAGAGGGUGCCUCCCAGGCUGUGGGGUGACCGGGGUGCCCCACCCAUCCCAGGCUUUCCUGGGGUCGGGGGCUGGGUUCGGUGUGGCGGCUGCUUGCACCUGGGGGGAGGUAGGAUGGCGCUGGGCUCAGCGCACCCACCGAUGGCUCUCCCGCUGAGAACUGGAAUCCAGCAUCUUCCUGCUUCACCCAGGGACCCUGGGCAGCACAACCCAGGCCCCGUCGCCUGGCCGCAUCCCAUCUCUCGCCACGUGUAGGCAAGCAGGUGCUCCCGCAGGCGAGGGCGGGCGGAGAGGCGUGCGGCCCGGCUGCUGUACUGGGACCGCAGCUCUACCGGCUGGGUGACGUGGUGUCGCCUCUAUGACCUCUGCUUCCUCACCCGCACUGCACAGUGACUGCCCUGUCCCACUGAAGAGUCCAGCCUGGGGCCGGUCUCAGAAUCGAGAGCAGCGUGCUGGGCAGGAGCCUGUGUGCUCAGCCCUGCCCGCUGCCGGCUGCCACACCCCAGCCCGGGCACCUCCUUCCCGAUGACGACGCUUGACAAAACCGACCUGUCCAGAGCAUGGCUCUGUGUCACCAGAAGCUUCUUUCUCCCUAGUCUGGCCGAAGUGAGCUCCGAAGUGGACUCGCCCAGGCCAUGUGCACAUAUGUGUGUGUGUGCUGUCCAGGGGGAGCGUCAGGGCUGAGUGCCAGGCAUGUUCCCAACCUGUGGGCUCCCCCACGCCCCACCCCAGCCCCCGGUGAUCCAGGGCCUCCGAGCAGCUCUGCACCCUAGGUGUGGGCGGUGCCAGCCCUGCUGAGGUCACACGUGCGACCAGGGGCCCUGGGCCGGGGAUUUGGUGUCACUGGGAAGGAAGCUGGGGGCUGAGACGGGGCAGGCCAAGUGGGCAGAGCCCCUGGUGAGUGGACAGGAAGCUGGGCAUCGGAUGCCCCCUAGACAGGCCAGGACAGAGCUGCUUUUCUCCGCUUGGUCUCCUUCCAGAGAAGAGCCCUGUGGGGUCUGUUUCAGGGUCUCAGAAAGCCCAUGAGUCACUUCAGGGCGGGGACGCUGGAGCCAGCAAGGGCAGGCUGGGCCAGGAAGAGUGGGGGUCCCGGCCAGCUCUGCCCCCAGGCUCUGAGGCCUGGAGUCAGCCCCUCCUCCCUUCAAACUGUGACUCCAACCCUCCGGAUCCUGGGGGACCCAUGGCCACAGAUUUGUGGGACCGCCUCCUGUGGAGCAGGGUCUCUGACACCCACCUGAGGCUCAUGUGUGAGGUGUGGGGUCAGCAAGGUGACCGCCGGCCCCCCAGGCCGGUCACAGGGGCCACCCUCUUGCCAGGACUUGCUCUUGUCCUGAGGGCCACGGAAGGAGCCCCACUGCCCCGCGGAAGGCAGGCCGUGAGAAUGCCCAGGCCACGCACCGGGACCAUGCGGGGCACUUAGGGGACGGCCAGAGUCCCCCACCACGCUGGGCGUGAUUCCGGCCCCAGCAUCUGCACCCCAGCUGCUCUUCCCGCCAGGACCCCGGCUCUGGAGCAGGGCCGGCCUGUCCUGACCCCUGGCGGCCAGCACGCUGAGAGGCUGAGGGAGCUGCACCCGGAGGCUGUUUGCGGGGCAGUCGCUGCAGCCCAGCGCGCACUCGCCGGCCUUCAGGACGGAACUUUGGGCCUGGCCUUGAGGCUGGCCUGCCAUCUGCUGCCCCGGGAGCCCGGGAUGGGGGCUGGGGACCUGGAGCCGCCUGCACUGCUGGCUGCGCCCUGGGGGCAGGGCUGGGGUGAGCAUGGGCCCCGCCGGCUUCCCUCCCACCCUCGCCCACCCGGACCCACAAGGCUGCCCAAGGAGAGGGGCCUGCGGUCCUUGCUCGUGAGAGCCCGUCCCGCCUCCUGUGAAGGAGAGGAGGUGCCCUCCCUUCCGCCCCCAGCUCUGAGCCUUCUGAGCUGCUCCCGGCAGCACUCGCACCCCGCGUCGUGACGCCGCUGCACCUCGUUCUCCAAGUGGCGGCUCUCGCACCGAGGCUCCUCAGAUUGGUCCCAGGAUGGAAGCGGCAGCUUUCAGAGAAGGCCGGGGCCCCCCACGGGAGAGACUGAUUCUGCAGGCCACCCCCCCACCCGCGUGCCCCUCAGGCUGCUCUCUGCCCAGGCAGCCCUCCCGCCCUGGGGAUGGGCUCGGAGGCCUAGCCAGCAGACACAGGGUGGCGUGGGUGCUCAGCCCCUGUUUACAGCCCAGGGAGGGGCCGCAGCCAGCCCGGGCCAGCAGGUCUGGGCAGGGCCUGAGGGCUCCAGGGCAGGCGCAGUGGGACUGGGGACUGGACAGGUUGGAGGGCGGAGCAGAGACGCCUCAACACGUGAAAUCGUAGGCUGGGACUCUCCGAAAUCUUUAGCUUCUUCCAAAGAGCACAGAAACCUGUCAGAGGCUAUUACUUGGUGAUGGGGGGCAAGGGUUCUGUCGCUCACCCCCAAGGGUGGCCCUUGAUCGUGUGGCCUGCCUGUGCCCCACAGCAGGCACUGACCCCACAGUGCCCACUUGGGCUGGCGUCCUGCCCACGUGUCUCUGCGUAGACCCAGCCCCUCAGGGAUGCUCAGCUGAACCGAACCUGGGCCCCGGCUCUUGGCCCCGUUCCGAUGCCCAGUGAUCCUGUCUCGAGACCCUCAGUCCCAUCUGCAAAGACGCUUUUUCCAAAUGAGGUCACGAGCACAUGUUCUGGGUAGACCUGAAUGUCUGGGUCACGCAGCAACUUCUCUGCAGGGGACCCCUGUAACCACAGGGACAGGCGCUUCCGUCCACCCCCUUAACGCGGCGUGAGGCUGGGGGCUGUGUCCUCCUGCCCUGGGCUGUUGAAAGCCAGGCUGGGCUUUCUCCCCCCAGGUGGGCCUUCCAGCCAAGAAGGUGGCGGGCUGGAUGUGCCUGCAGAGGCCCCGGGGGCGGCUGUUCUCGGCCACAUCCUCUUCCUGGAGAGCGACCCCCUUCAGCCCCGAGACCCCAGGAAAGGGCCCUGGCACCCCAGCCCCGACCAGCAGCGCUGCCCGUCGUUGCUGACGGCAGACGCCCUCUCUCUGGGGUCCAGGCACCCUGCUUGCUCUAUCUCUUCUUCUGCACAUCUUGCCGCCGCCGAGUAUAGGUGUAGGUGCCCAGCCAGCCUUCAGGAGAACAGCCCCCGGGGGAUGCCUGACACACGGUCAACUCGCGUGUUUGACGCGAAACCCUUACCUCCUCCAGGAGGUAUUCACGCGCUCAUCGCGGCUCCCGGUGCCCCUGUGAGAGCCCCUCCCCGCUCCAGGCAGGGCCCCCACCCCCCAGCUGCAUCCUGUCACGCGGGCGGGCGCAGCGAGGUGCGGGCUGCCUGCCCAGAAUCCGAGAAUCGGCUGCUCUCAGCGUGAUUAUUUCAAGAUGUGUCUACAGGGCCUCCGCGCCGAGUUCACGCCCGUGGUCUCCGGGCUGGGAUCUGCUCAUCCUUUCUCCGCGCGCCUGGUGGGGGCAGCGCUGGAAGCCCAGCAGCUUCCGAACCCCGACCCGUGGCUUCUGCGGGUUGUCAGGGAUGCGGCGGCCUCUGGAGGUGACCCAAGGGGCAGCCUCUCUGCCGGCAUCGUGUCUGGGGAGCGGGGGCCCUGUUCUGGGCGGCGAUGUCCAGUGCCCGAGCUGCUGCGCUGACCCUGCCAGGCUGCAGGGGACGCCUCGAGUGUGACCCACCCUUGGGCCACCCUUGGGGCAGGGGAAACCGUGGUCCCGCAGCUCCCAAGGCCCACGGUUUCUCCGGACGGGCUGCAGGCGGAUGGACCUUGGAUGGCAGAUGGAAGAAGCCAGGUACAAAGGGCCGCACAGCCUGAAGUUCAUGAACAAAUGACAAAGGGGAAAAAGUCCAGAGCGGAGCCCAGGGAGGGGCCGUGGGUGCAGCGUCCGGGAGCCUCUCCUUGGGGACAGCCGGCAACGGCCAUGUCUGCAGCAGAGGCUCGGGGAGCAGUGAGGACGUCCAGGCGGUCAGGGCCGGGCGCUGCCCCUGAAAGGACGCGGGACAGGCUCACAGUGAGGAGGCCGGACCCCAAGCUGCCUCUUCCAACCGCGGUGGGAAACGGCAGAGCAGAAAGUCUGGAAAGAAGGUACCCGGCGCGCCGGAGUCUCCCAGGGGCGGGCCGUGGGUGCUACCCUCGCUCUUUCUUCGUAUUUGUCUGUGGUUUUCCAAUUUCCCCCCUGGGCCCGUAAUGCUGUUAGAAUCAGAAUGGUUUAUUAAACCCAAUCUGCAUGUUUCCUCCUAGAAGAAUAGUUUCUAGCUGGU